rnacentral:rRNA from 1 species
AUGGUAGGAUAGAGGCCUACCAUGGUGGUAACGGGUAACGUGGUGUUAGGGCACGACACCGGAGAGGGAGCCUGAGAAACGGCUACCACAUCCAAGGAUGGCAGCAGGCGCGCAAAUUACCCAAUCCCGACACGGGGAGGUAGUGACAAUAAAUAACAAUACGGGGUUCUUUCGGAUCUCGUAAUUGGAAUGAGUACAAUUUAAAUCUCUUAACGAGGAACAAUUGGAGGGCAAGUCUGGUGCCAGCAGCCGCGGUAAUUCCAGCUCCAAUAGCGUAUAUUAAAGUUGUUGCAGUUAAAAAGCUCGUAGUUGAAUUUCGGGGUUAGUAGGUUGGUCAUGCCUCUGGUAUGUACUGGUCUCACUGAUUCCUCCUUCCUUAUGAACCGUAAUGCCAUUAAUUUGGUGUUGCGGGGAAUUUGGACUGUUACUUUGAAAAAAUUAGAGUGUUUAAAGCAAGCUAACGCUUGAAUACAUUAGCAUGGAAUAAUGAAAUAGGACGUUCGAUCUUAUUUUGUUGGUUUCUAGGAUUGACGUAAUGAUUAAUAGGGAUAGUUGGGGGCAUUAGUAUUCAAUUGUCAGAGGUGAAAUUCUUGGAUUUAUUGAAGACUAACUACUGCGAAAGCAUUUGCCAAGGAUGUUUUCAUUAAUCAAGAACGAAAGUUAGGGGAUCGAAGACGAUCAGAUACCGUCGUAGUCUUAACCAUAAACUAUGCCGACUAGGGAUCGGAU